AAUAAGUGCAGCCAUGGUUUUUCGCGCCCAACUUUAAUCGUCCGUCUUAUUUAAAAUUAUUUUAUAUUAGCAUUUUUGUUGCUAUGAGAUAAUAAAACAUGAAUAGUACUUUACUCGUGACUUAUGUUUUUAAUUUUUUUUAAAAAAUUUUUAAAUAAGACGAACGGUCAAAAUUAGACGCGGAAAAAUAUAUCUGCACUUAUU
rfam:Oryza barthii chromosome 3, whole genome shotgun sequence.